UACGUAGGGGGCAAGCGUUGUCCGGAAUUAUUGGGCGUAAAGAGCUCGUAGGCGGUUUGUCGCGUCUGCCGUGAAAGUCCGGGGCUCAACUCCGGAUCUGCGGUGGGUACGGGCAGACUAGAGUGAUGUAGGGGAGACUGGAAUUCCUGGUGUAGCGGUGAAAUGCGCAGAUAUCAGGAGGAACACCGAUGGCGAAGGCAGGUCUCUGGGCAUUAACUGACGCUGAGGAGCGAAAGCAUGGGGAGCGAACAGG
rnacentral:rRNA from 1 species